rnacentral:rRNA from 1 species
AGCCUGAACGCUGGCGGCGUGGCUAAGACAUGCAAGUCGCACGGAUGUAGCAAUACAUCAGUGGCGGACGGGUGAGUAAUGUAUCGCUAACGUACCCUGGACUCUGGGAUAGCUAAUCGAAAGGUUAGGUAAUACCGGAUGAGACCACAAGCCGGCAUCGGCUGGUGCUCAAAGGUCCGCC